rnacentral:rRNA from 1 species
CGUAGAGUUUGAUCCUUGGACUCAGGAUGAACGACUAGCUACAGGCUUAACACAUGCAAGUCGAGGGGAAACGGCGAUUUAGUGCUUGCACCGAAUGGACGUCGACCGGCGCACGGGUGAGUAACGCGUAUCCAACCUUCCCAUAACUAAGGAAUAACCUGCCGAAAGGCAGACUAAUACCUUAUGUAAUCCUUUGAUGGCAUCAGAUAAGGAUAAAAGAUUUAUCGGUUAUGGAUGGGGAUGCGUCUGAUUAGCUUGUUGGCGGGGUAACGGCCCACCAAGGCAACGAUCAGUAGGGGUUCUGAGAGGAAGGUCCCCCACAUUGGAACUGAGACACGGUCCAAACUCCUACGGGAGGCAGCAGUGAGGAAUAUUGGUCAAUGGACGGAAGUCUGAACCAGCCAAGUAGCGUGCAGGAUGACGGCCCUAUGGGUUGUAAACUGCUUUUGUAUGGGGAUAAAGUCAAUCACGUGUGAUUGUUUGCAGGUACCAUACGAAUAAGGACCGGCUAAUUCCGUG